rnacentral:rRNA from 1 species
GAUGAACGCUGGCGGCGUGCUUAACACAUGCAAGUCGAACGGAAAGGCCCAAGCUUGCUUGGGUACUCGAGUGGCGAACGGGUGAGUAACACGUGGGUGAUCUGCCCUUCACUUCGGGAUAAGCCUGGGAAACUGGGUCUAAUACCGGAUAGGACCACCUUUUGGAUGGUGUGGUGGAAAGUUUUUCGGUGUGGGAUGAGCUCGCGGCCUAUCAGCUUGUUGGUGGGGUAAUGGCCUACCAAGGCGUCGACGGGUAGCCGGCCUGAGAGGGUGUACGGCCACAUUGGGACUGAGAUACGGCCCAGACUCCUACGGGAGGCAGCAGGGGGGAAUAUUGCACAAUGGGCGCAAGCCUGAUGCAGCGACGCCGCGUGGGGGAGGACGGCCUUCGGGUUGGAAACUCCUUUCGCUAGGGACGAAGCGUUAUGUGACGGUACCUGGAGAAGAAGCACCGGCUAACUACGUG